GCCAGACUCCUACGGGAGGCAGCAGUGGGGGAUAUUGCACAAUGGGGGGAACCCUGAUGCAGCGACGCCGCGUGGGUGAAGGAGCGUUUCGGCGCGUAAAGCCCUCUCGGCAGGGAAGAAGGAGGACGGUACCUGACUAAGAAGCCCCGGCUAACUACGUGCCAGCAGCCGCGGUAAUACGUAGGGGGCGAGCGUUAUCCGGAUUCACUGGGUGUAAAGGGAGCGUAGACGGCCAUGCAAGCCAGGGGUGAAAGCCCGGGGCCCAACCCCGGGACUGCCCUUGGAACUGCAUGGCUGGAGUGCAGGAGGGGCAGGCGGAAUUCCUGGUGUAGCGGUGAAAUGCGUAGAUAUCAGGAGGAACACCGGCGGCGAAGGCGGCCUGCUGGACCGUGACUGACGUUGAGGCUCGAGAGCGUGGGGAGCAAACAGGAUUAGAUACCCCCGUA
rnacentral:rRNA from 1 species